AAAGUUGGGCGUAGCCUUGUUCUUUCUGCAGCUCUGCUGGGUGCCGUGAGGGACGUCUAUCUUGGUGGGGCUCCUUUGGAGAAGAACCCCUGGGGGUUGCCUGCUGUGUCCCCCAGCCCGUGAUAAAAGCGCAGGCUCUGCGCCCUGCCCAAGGUGCUCCUGGCUGUGGCUAUUUGUGCCCGGGCCUAGGGGGACUCCUUCCCCAUCUGCCUGUGGUGCCUGCAGCCACUCGGUCCCCUCUGUCUUCUUUUGUUUUUGCCCCCAGCUCCUGCUCCUGCUGCAGCACACAUGGGGCUUCCCUAGGGCUGCAGCCUCCCCAGCCUCAGCCGCCAUGCCAGGGGACUCCUGACUUCCCUCAUCACUUUGCUCCUCCUCCGGCUGGGCUCAGCCCAGCUCAGAGUGGAGGGACCAGGCCACCCUCUCACUGCCACCGUGGGGCAGGAUGUCGUGCUGCCCUGCCACUUGUCCCCUCAAUGUGAUGCUCGCAGCUUGGAGGUCAGGUGGAUCCGGGACAAGUUCUCUGAGACAGUGCACCACUACCGCAAUAGAGAGGACCUGUACGGGGAGCAGAUGGGGGCAUAUGCCGGGAGGACAGAGCUGGCCAGAGAUGGUCUCUCUGCUGGAAGCCUGGACU